CCGCGACGUGCAGCUCGCCUACGCGGAGCGUGUGCGGCAGCUCGGGGAGCACCUUGCGGUGAAGUAUGUUCAGGUGUUGCAUUAGAUGUGAAAUGUGAUGAUCUAAAUGGGGAGGAGAAGAUGCAGCAACAUGAGAUGCCAAAUACUAAAAACGACGAUGGUGUCACGAUAUUGUUACCCACUAUUGUUGCAUGUUCCCUCCCAUGCUUGGAGGUCCUAAUCGAGGGACUACGCCACUACCGAGAGCUCCGGGAGGGAUAUUGCUGGCCAACGGCGGCCAGGCGAUCGCCUCCAUGGCAUGGAAGCUUGAGGGGUCAUGUCCAUUAGGGAGAGCAGAGGAGAUCCGAUGAGUCCAUUCUCUAGAGUCCAGACUCCAGACUAGGAUAGAACAAGGCUGAGGCAUCCAGUUUCAUCAGUUCAUCACGUCAGUUACCAGGCGCACGCCACAUGGCUGAUUACCAAGCCAAGAUGAAAGUGGUGGUGGCCGCAUCAAAGGAGAAGGUGCAACAAGACGAACCGAAAGCUGCUAUCUCAGAUGUGAAAUGUGACAACCCAAAAGAGGAGGGCAAUGUGCAGCAAACCAAAAGUUGUUGCCUCAGAUGUGAAAUGUGAUGACCUAGAGCAGGAGGAAGAUUCCAAUAAAAAUGGGGAACUGGAGGAGUGUAACAAAUGUGUAAUUUAUUUUUUUCCACUCUAUAUGCUAUCUUAGAAGUUUCAAAAGUUCCUUGUUUGUGCGUAAUUCAAAAUUUACUAUUAGUCAUUGUUCCUGAACAACCCUUGAUUUUAUUUCUUGAAUGUGCACCUGAUUCGUCUAAUGGAAUCAUAGAACCACAUGUUGUGCUACUAUUUUGGUUAAGAAUUACAAUGAUCUUAAGGCA